rnacentral:rRNA from 1 species
UACGUAGGGUGCGAGCGUUAAUCGGAAUUACUGGGCGUAAAGCGUGCGCAGGCGGUGACUCAAGCCAGAUGUGAAAUCCCCGGGCUUAACCUGGGAACUGCAUUUGGAACUAGGUUGCUAGAGUGUGGCAGAGGAAGGUGGAAUUCCUGGUGUAGCAGUGAAAUGCGUAGAUAUCAGGAGGAACAUCGAUGGCGAAGGCAGCCUUCUGGGCCGACACUGACGCUCAUGCACGAAAGCGUGGGGAGCAAACAGG